CCUACGGUGGGCAGCAGUGAGGAAUAUUGGGCAAUGGGGGCAACCCUGACCCAGCCAUGCCGCGUGAGUGAAGAAGGUCUUCGGAUUGUAAAGCUCUUUCGGACGUGACGAUGAUGACGGUAGCGUCUAAAGAAGCACCGGCAAACUUCGUGCCAGCAGCCGCGGUAAUACGAAGGGUGCGAGCGUUGUUCGGAAUUACUGGGCGUAAAGGGAGUGUAGGCGGAUAUGUAAGAUAGCGGUGAAAUGCCGGGGCUCAACCCCGGAACUGCCAUUAUGACUAUGUAUCUAGAGUAAUGGAGAGGAUAGCGGAAUACCCAGUGUAGAGGUGAAAUUCGUAGAUAUUGGGUAGAACACCGGUGGCGAAGGCAGCCUGCCGGGGUGCGACUGACGCUGAGGCUCGAAGGUGCGGGUAUCAAACAGGAUUAGAUACCCGAGUAGUC
rnacentral:rRNA from 1 species